CCCUUUUGAAACUACCCUGACGGCGAUGCUCUUUCCAUUUCUGUAGGAUCCUCUGAAGAGACCGUCUCACUAUGGCUUUUUCCUAAGAAUGUCCUGCUUCCCGGAUGUCAGCUGAAAUAGUCAGACCACCCUCUCGAGGAAUGGCUUCACCCUGGCUUUAGGUUGAUCAGAUCCUUCAUGAGGAGUUCCCACCAUCUGACUUCUCAAACAAGACCAAAGAUGACUCAGAAUAACUUUUGGCUGAUGGAAGAUGCAAAGCAUACCUCAAGGUCAGGAGAGCGUAUACUAACAAUUGUUUCGCUCCAGCAUGUUCUCUGGUUAGAUACUUACAAUCUGGUUCUUCAAGGGAUUCCGAAGAGACAACCUAACUCCACAUAGCUUCCUUCCCUUCUCACAUCACCUGUAACACUGCAUGGAUGGAUACUAAGGAAAAUUUUUGUAGAAAUUCGCUCUUUUAUCCUAAUAUCUGCUUAUAGACAGAGAUGAUGCAGAAAUGGAGUUGCUUCCAGUAGUUUCACCUGACUUUAGUAAACGUUGAUGAACCACUCAUUCAUUGAGUCAAAGUUUUUGAAUACUUAAUUUCCAGGCCAGGGACAUGGCUCAGUGGUACAACCCUUGUGUGGCAUAUGUGAGGCCCUGGGUUCAAAACCCAAGUGAAAAGAAAAAUCAAGAGAAAAAAAGAAAUGUUUGCCUCUAUGUACGGAAGUAAGGCUAAAGGUAGCCAUUUACUAGGUUGCUGAGAUGGAACACGCAGUGUGUGGAACGUACUUCCUUCACGUUCCUAUCAUCUGCCAAACUAGUGCUCAAGAGAUGCCACGAAGAACUGGAGACCGACGAAGACCACGUGAAUGGGAUGCCACGGAGGAAGAGUCACUGCCUCUUCCCACACUCUUCAUGUAGACUGUGGCCUUUGCUCUUGACUUUCCCAGCUGCUAGGCGGGCGUUUGUGCCACAGCUCAGUCUGCUCAAGGACAGCAAAGGGACAAAGGACUCUGGCUAGAUUUUUUCCACUAACCACUGAUACAAGAUCCUGAUAAGAGUCAACUGAUGGGCUUAAAAUCUUAAAAACUUCGUGGCAUUCUUACCUAAGGCCUGGUAUUAAUCUUUAAAUAAAUGUGCUACAUCAUGGUUUAUAUUAGUCUGGGUAGGUUUCAGUUCUUUGAGAACAAAUGUUUCCUGAGAUGACAGAGAACAGGGUCCAUGCGAGGGGAACUUCAUCAGGUGGACAGCUCAGAGUGGGGGACGUCUGAGGGAGAAGUGGCAGGUCACAGGAGUAUGGGAAUACACAGAGUGACCAAAAUAUAGGGUGAAUGUUUACAUUAAAACAGGAAUGACGAGAUAGGUGUGUCCAGAGAGGGGAGAAUUUUGAGGGGCAUUAAUUGCCACAUGUCUUUAAUAAUUUUUAAACAUUUUUAUCACACCUCUUACAUAGAGUUUUGAGAAUAACAGCAAGCAUUUCGGUAUGGAUAGAUUAAUGUCUGUCUAUGAGAAAGUAAUAAAAAAUGUACGGUCCAAAGGUGAUAAGAAUAAAAUUGCAAAGGAUUCUAUACAUCAAGCCAAGGAAUUUGGACUUUACCCUAAAUUUCAGGCAAUGAGAGUCCUUAUCAGAUCAGGCUGCACUAUGGGUUUUGGCUAAGAUCCCCUAUGUGUGUGUCUGUGGAAUAAGACAGACAGGAACAGCAUGCAGGCUGUGCCUGGCCUCAGUGAGGGCGGCUUGCACAGCUGCGUUUGCAUGGUGUCGCGCCCUGGAGCCAGGCAUCACCUGUGUUCCUGUCUGCCAGUGCGCAGUAGCUGGCCACACCCCAGGACACUGAAGGACAAUGCCUGGGGUGCGGGAUCGUGAAAACAGCUUCUUAAUUCUUCUAAAUUGUGGCUUUACAUAACUUCUGUAGCACUCCAUAGCAAAUAGUUUAGAGCUUGAUGAUUUAGGGGUAACCGUGCAAAGUGACAGCUGUGCACAUACCUAGUGGUGUGGAGCUAAUAUGUACAACCAUGUACAACAAUCACUUGUCCUAUCAACAAGUCCUGCUGACUCAGAAAGAUUGCUUUGCUAUUCAUGCCAAU
ensembl:lincRNA